UACGUAGGGGCAAGCGUUGUCCGGAUUUAUUGGGCGUAAAGAGCGUGUAGGCGGCUAGGUAGGUCCGUUGUGAAAACUCGAGGCUCAACCUCGAGACGUCGAUGGAAACCAUCUAGCUAGAGUCCGGAAGAGGAGAGUGGAAUUCCUGGUGUAGCGGUGAAAUGCGCAGAUAUCAGGAAGAACACCCGUGGCGAAGGCGGCUCUCUGGUACGUGACUGACGCUGAGACGCGAAAGCGUGGGGAGCGAACAGG
rnacentral:rRNA from 1 species